GGGUUCUUCUUGCGCAGACUANGUGGGAGGCGUUGAUCAUUUCUUUCCGGGGAAAUAGGAGCCAUCAGUGAGAGACCACUCUUGAAGAACUAGAAUUCUAAUGGCGAUCCUUGAAGCAGGACGCUUGACAGUUUCUGAUGGGCAGUUUGACUGGGGCGGUCGCCUCAUAAAAGGUAACUGAGGCGUACAAAGGUUCCUUCAAAAUGGAUGGAAAUCAUUCGUAGAGUAUAAAGGUAUAAGGGAGCUUGACUGAAAGACCUACAAGUCGAACAGGGGCGAAAGCCGGUCUUAGUGAUCCGACGGUGCCGCGUGGAAGGGCCGUCGCUCAACGGAUAAAAGU
rnacentral:rRNA from 1 species